AGCCAUCCCUGGACCCUGCAUCCCCAGACUUUGUGCCCACAUUGUUUAAGCACAGGCAGCAUCAGUGUGAUAGAAUCCAAAGAAAACUUGACCGAUAUCAAAGGAAGAGAAGAAGAACUACUGAAGCUUCCUCUGAUGAAAAUGGAACAUCAAAUGCCCAUUAUUCCAAAGACAAUGAUCCUCUGCCCAGCACAAGCCAGCCUUUCAGUCAUGACCAGGAGCUUGAGCUUGAUGAAGAGGAUUCUACUGUCCCUAGAAAGGCCUAUGAUGACCUGAAAUUAAAGAAUGAGCAACUGAAGACAAUGCUAACCUUCGGAAGGAAGUACAACAUCUGAAAGAUCAAAACAAAAAGCUUAGAGACAAUUGAAGACCGACAUAUUUCCUAUAGUGUCAUUAAAACCAAGGCUAAACAAAUGCUAUUCUUUACAGGGUUGACCACCAUCAUUUUUCAGUGGUUGGUGUCAAAACUGAAGGACAGUAUAGUGACAGUGUUUCCUCACCUUUCUAUUGAGGACCAUCUGUUGACCGUGCUUAUGAAGCUACGACUUGGUUUAACCAAUAAAGACAUAGCUUUCAGAUUUUAGGGCGUUUUCAUAUUAAGUACGAUUGCUUCUCUCCACUCCCCCGCCGCUCAGCUUUCACAUUAGUAAUGUUGUUCCGUACCCGAGUACACUUGCGUCAUCAACAACGCGACAUUUGUUUAUGUUGUCGCUCCAGUGUAAAGCCCCAUUCGCAAGAUCCCAAGCCCAUUCUAAAUAGCAGUCCACUUCCAUGUUUUGGUACAGUAGUUUUCACACCUGAUGUGAACCGUACCCGAGUACACAUGAACCGUACUCGAGACCACCUUUUCAAGUGGACCCGGGCACGGUUCGUUGAUCCAUACCCGGGUACGGUACACAGUGUUCACACUAAUCAAACGAACUGGACUUUGGGUUCAAGUGGACUCGUGUACUCGGAUCCGGGCCCGGGUCUCUGAUGAAAGCCUCCUUAUGUAGACCCUAAUGUAAUUACCCAGGCCUUGACUGGGUAAUUACUGGCUCCCUGCAAUGUCAAAAAUAUUGAAGACACUAAUCAAAUGGCCAACUAAGAAUGCAAAUCUCAGGAACAUGCUACGGUUUAAAAAAAAAAAAAAAAUUAGGGGUUGCAGGUGUAUUUUCGAUUGUACAGAAAUCUUCAUGGAAAGACCUUCCAGUCUUACCGCUAGGGCUCAAACUUGGU